CUGUAAUAUUUCUUUUCUCUCCCAAGGGAAAUUAAUGUCUGUUCCUAGCAUUUGUCCCUUAUUUUCUUUGUGAAAACUGAGACAAGGAAGCAAGGAAUUAAUUUAAUAUUUUAGCAAUAUCUAUUUCAUUGGUCGAUAAUUUAUUCUUAUAAUUUUUACUCUGCAGGCUUCUUCAGAGUGACCUCUGGUCCUUUAUAUGCUUGAAACACAUUGUCUAUAAUAUUUUGACCUCCUGUGAUAUUUUUCAUUCAUUCCUCACUCUGGCUUUCCCUUUCAUUCUGCACUUGUGACUGUGCCCUUUGUCUCUUUCCUGCAGUUCCUCAUAACCAAUAUUUUAUACUUCAUAUCUGAGCUGCUCAUAUACUUGAUUACUUUUUACAAAUCAUUUUUCAUCCAUAUUGGAUUUUUUUUUAAUUUCUGUGAUAUUUACUUUUAGGUUACACAUAAACACAAUCCUUUGGGAACACUGAACAUUAAUUUACUUUGGAACAUGCCCCAAUUUUUCUUCUUCUUUUUUUUAUUCUACAUAAUAAAUAAAUAAACAUCUCACCACUUUUUUUAAUCCCAGAUAUGAUACUGCAGGUUACUAAUACCUUAUUUUCUCCUUUAUCGACUCCUUUAUUCCCUCAUUAGUCUCAAGAUAUUCCUCAGCAUUAAUUUUUUAUUUUAUACUUAUGUGUAAGCAUCUUAGGACAUUGCUCUAUCUUGUGUAUAAACAAAAGUUAACACAUUAAAUGUGUUCCUAUAUUUGGACUUCUCUUUUAGCUAUAUAUCAUAGUUGAUAUUCACAUAAUACAAAAGAAAUAUGUGUAUGGCUAUGAGUCAUCUGUCACAGGUUAGUUUUUUAUUUCAGAUAUUUUAUAUUUUCUUGUUAUUUUCAAUAUUUCUGAAAUGAAAUUAUUGAACAUAAUUAAUUGUAUCUAAUUCUAAAAUAUUCCUGGUAUUUUUUUCAGUUAAAUUAUUUACUUUGAGACCAUUGUGGAUUUUUGUGUCUUUCGUAUAUAAAUAGCCUCUGCCAUAAUUUCCAUUCUGUCAUAUUUUCUGCUUGAUAUAGCUUAUUUGUUCAUUUAGUGUAUGUUUAUGGAGACUCAUUUACAUGUCAGAUAUUGUAAGACUGUGGCUACAGUGGACAAAUAGGCAUGGUCUCUUUCUUCAUGGAUAUCAAAAUCCAGUAAAUGUCUGUAAAAUGAUAUACCAUUGAAAUUUGCAAUAAAUGUUUUGGCUGUAAAGUAAAGGGUAUACUCUGAAAGACUCAUGGAAAAAUUUGAUUUGAGUUCUGAGGAAGAGGUCAGAAAGUUUUCUCUGAAGAAAUUAUCUUUAAGCUGAGAUUGAAAGCAACAGUAACAGUUACCUACUUGAAUUAACUUGGGUUCCUCUCAAAACUGGAAAUUGUGAGAGAUUAUUCCAAGGAUCAGGAAUUUUCAAAGACCAGGGAGAAGGCCUUGAUAUUAGCAUAAUGCUGACCUCAUUGAGUGAGGUAGGAAAUGUCUAAUGUGCUUAGAUUUUUCUGGAAAAGAUUGAGUUGAAUUGGUAUUAUAUCUUACCUAAAUGUAUGCUAGAACUCACCAGUGAAACCAUAUGAGGCUAGUAUUUUCUUUUAUAGAAGGUCACCAAUUAUUCAAUAUCUUUAAUAAAUUUAGACCUGUUCAUAUUAUCUUAUUAAUCCUUUUGCAAGUUUUGGUAGAUUUUGUCCUCUAGGAAUUGGCUUCAUUUCAUCUAUAUUACCAUAUUGGUGGGCAUAGCAUUGUUCAUGGCAUUUCUUUUUUAAUAGAACUUAAGAGAGUUGAGUUAUUGAGUGUCAGAGUAGUCAAGACAAGCCAAAAUGAAAGUACAAUAAAAGCCAAGCCUUUAAUCACUUGCUGUGAUAAUAUAAGGGGAGGUUAAACCCGAGAAAGUGUCAACUCCUCCCCAUCCCACCUUCCAAUUUUCUCCUUGGAAUGGUGCUAGAUAAGGAUCAGGUGGAUUAGUACACAGGUGGGAAUUGUCUCAAUGCCAACGGUGCUCCUGACAAAAGACUCCUUCAGUAUUCUGGGUCACACGGACUGGGAGGGGAAGUGAGAGGAAGCCUCAGAGUAUGAAAGCACUUAAUACUGAGUCUUUGAGAAGAGAAGAUUGUCUUUAAGGCCCCAUUCCCCAUAAGGGGGAGUUGGGAGUCUUGGUAGAGGCACCAGAGGAAAGCCUCAGCUGAAAGGCUUUGAAAAAGUGGCCUCUGAAGUGAGGCACCUGAGCUAGAAAGUAACUAUAUAUAAGACCAUGGGCCAGUCAGAGCAGUCCGAGUCUUUGAAUGCACUAAUUUCCUUUUGACACAGCAACGUAUGGGCUGUGUGCUAAGUCAGCUUGGGGAGGACGGCUUUCCGCAGUGAGGCUUGCCAGAGUUGAUAAACUUUGAUCAGCCUGAAUCCUUGAAUGGCUACAUGGAUCAGACCCCGCUGGACAUAUAGGCAUGGUAACCCUGAUGGUGAAGAAGACUUGGAAGUUUUACUUGGAAAGGGGACUUCUCUUCUGCAAAUCAGUACUUCAGCUGGGGAGAUGACCCACUUGUUCACUUCAGUAAUCAAGCGUUCUCUUUUGAAAUUGAGCAUUUCUCUUGGCAACAACAGAACACAGGGUGCUGAUAUGCCAAGAUUUGAUGGGUUAAUUAGGCUUGUGUAGACCAGUUUGCCACCCAACCAGAAUUUAUAAAAUUGAUUUCAUGGGUAAAACA